GAUGAACGCUGGCGGCGUGCCUAAUACAUGCAAGUCGAACGCUUUGUGGUUCAACUGAUUUGAAGAGCUUGCUCAGAUAUGACGAUGGACAUUGCAAAGAGUGGCGAACGGGUGAGUAACACGUGGGAAACCUACCUCUUAGCAGGGGAUAACAUUUGGAAACAGAUGCUAAUACCGUAUAACAAUGACAACCGCAUGGUUGUUAUUUAAAAGAUGGUUCUGCUAUCACUAAGAGAUGGUCCCGCGGUGCAUUAGCUAGUUGGUAAGGUAAUGGCUUACCAAGGCGAUGAUGCAUAGCCGAGUUGAGAGACUGAUCGGCCACAAUGGGACUGAGACACGGCCCAUACUCCUACGGGAGGCAGCAGUAGGGAAUCUUCCACAAUGGGCGAAAGCCUGAUGGAGCAACGCCGCGUGUGUGAUGAAGGGUUUCGGCUCGUAAAACACUGUUGUAAGAGAAGAAUGACAUUGAGAGUAACUGUUCAAUGUGUGACGGUAUCUUACCAGAAAGGAACGGCUAAAUACGUGCCAGCAGCCGCGGUAAUACGUAUGUUCCAAGCGUUAUCCGGAUUUAUUGGGCGUAAAGCGAGCGCAGACGGUUAUUUAAGUCUGAAGUGAAAGCCCUCAGCUCAACUGAGGAAUUGCUUUGGAAACUGGAUGACUUGAGUGCAGUAGAGGAAAGUGGAACUCCAUGUGUAGCGGUGAAAUGCGUAGAUAUAUGGAAGAACACCAGUGGCGAAGGCGGCUUUCUGGACUGUAACUGACGUUGAGGCUCGAAAGUGUGGGUAGCAAACAGGAUUAGAUACCCUGGUAGUCCACACCGUAAACGAUGAGUGCUAGGUGUUUGAGGGUUUCCGCCCUUAAGUGCCGCAGCUAACGCAUUAAGCACUCCGCCUGGGGAGUACCACCGCAAGGUUGAAACUCAAAGGAAUUGACGGGGACCCGCACAAGCGGUGGAGCAUGUGGUUUAAUUCGAAGCAACGCGAAGAACCUUACCAGGUCUUGACAUCCCUUGACAACUCCAGAGAUGGAGCGUUCCCUUCGGGGACAAGGUGACAGGUGGUGCAUGGUUGUCGUCAGCUCGUGUCGUGAGAUGUUGGGUUAAGUCCCGCAACGAGCGCAACCCUUAUUACUAGUUGCCAGCAUUCAGUUGGGCACUCUAGUGAGACUGCCGGUGACAAACCGGAGGAAGGUGGGGAUGACGUCAAAUCAUCAUGCCCCUUAUGACCUGGGCUACACACGUGCUACAAUGGCGUAUACAACGAGUUGCCAACCCGCGAGGGUGAGCUAAUCUCUUAAAGUACGUCUCAGUUCGGAUUGUAGGCUGCAACUCGCCUACAUGAAGUCGGAAUCGCUAGUAAUCGCGGAUCAGCACGCCGCGGUGAAUACGUUCCCGGGUCUUGUACACACCGCCCGUCACACCAUGAGAGUUUGUAACACCCAAAGCCGGUGGGGUAACCUUCGGGAGCCAGCCGUCUAAGGUGGGACAGAUGAUUAGGGUGGUAG
rnacentral:rRNA from 1 species